CACGUAGGGCGCGAGCGUUGUCCGGAAUUAUUGGGCGUAAAGAGCUCGUAGGCGGCCUGUUGCGUCCGCUGUGAAAGCCCGGGGCUUAACCCCGGGUCGGCAGUGGAUACGGGCAGGCUAGAGUGCGGUAGGGGUGACUGGAAUUCCUGGUGUAGCGGUGGAAUGCGCAGAUAUCAGGAGGAACACCGAUGGCGAAGGCAGGUCACUGGGCCGCAACUGACGCUGAGGAGCGAAAGCAUGGGGAGCGAACAGG
rnacentral:rRNA from 1 species